GGAACCAUGGAAACGAGGAAACCUCUUCAACUGACAAACAGCAAAAAAUAGCGUCUCUCUGUUUUUCCACUGCUUUCAGUCUAGAAAAUCAUCAUGAUGUCCUGCUACAGCCCUGUCCCAAGACAACCUCCACGGCUAUGAACUCGACUAGUGUGUUUUUAAUUAUGUUGGCCAAUGAGACACCAUACUG